UACGUAUGGAGCAAGCGUUAUCCGGAUUUACUGGGUGUAAAGGGAGCGCAGGCGGCUUUGCAAGUCUGAUGUGAAAGGCCGGGGCUCAACCCCGGGACUGCAUUGGAAACUGUAAAGCUAGAGUGCCGGAGAGGUAAGCGGAAUUCCUAGUGUAGCGGUGAAAUGCGUAGAUAUUAGGAGGAACACCAGUGGCGAAGGCAGCUUACUGGACGGCAACUGACGCUGAGGCUCGAAAGCGUGGGGAGCAAACAGG
rnacentral:rRNA from 1 species